rnacentral:rRNA from 1 species
UACGUAGGGUGCGAGCGUUAAUCGGAAUUACUGGGCGUAAAGCGUGCGCAGGCGGUUCUCCAAGUCCGUUGUGAAAGCCCCGGGCUCAACCUGGGAAUGGCAGUGGAAACUAGGGGACUUGAAUCUGGCAGAGGGGGGUGGAAUUCCACGUGUAGCAGUGAAAUGCGUAGAGAUGUGGAGGAACACCGAUGGCGAAGGCAGCCUCCUGGGCCAGCACUGACGCUCAUGCACGAAAGCGUGGGGAGCAAACAGG